GUGCUCACUUCAGCAGCACAUAUACUAAAAUUGGAACAAUACGGAAAAGAUUAGCAUGGCCCCUGUGCAAGGAUGACAUGCAAAUUCAUGAAGCAUUUCAUAUUAAA
ensembl:snRNA U6 U6 spliceosomal RNA